rnacentral:rRNA from 1 species
AGUGGCGGACGGGUGAGUAACGCGUAAGAAUCUAACUUCAGGACGGGGACAACAGUGGGAAACGACUGCUAAUACCCGAUGUGCCGCGAGGUGAAACCUAAUUGGCCUGAAGAAGAGCUUGCGUCUGAUUAGCUAGUUGGUGGGGUAAGAGCCUACCAAGGCGACGAUCAGUAGCUGGUCUGAGAGGAUGAGCAGCCACACUGGGACUGAGACACGGCCCAGACUCCUACGGGAGGCAGCAGUGGGGAAUUUUCCGCAAUGGGCGAAAGCCUGACGGAGCAACGCCGCGUGAGGGAGGAAGGUCUUUGGAUUGUAAACCUCUUUUCUCAAGGAAGAAGUUCUGACGGUACUUGAGGAAUCAGCCUCGGCUAACUCCGUGCCAGCAGCCGCGGUAAUACGGGGGAGGCAAGCGUUAUCCGGAAUUAUUGGGCGUAAAGCGUCCGCAGGUGUCAGCCAAGUCUGCCGUCAAAUCAGGUUGCUUAACGACCUAAAGGCGGUGGAAACUGGCAGACUAGAGAGCAGUAGGGGUAGCAGGAAUUCCCAGUGUAGCGGUGAAAUGCGUAGAGAUUGGGAAGAACAUCGGUGGCGAAAGCGUGCUACUGGGCUGUAUCUGACACUCAGGGACGAAAGCUAGGGGAGCGAAAGGGAUUAGAUACCCCUGUAGUCCUAGCCGUAAACGAUGGAUACUAGGCGUGGCUUG